rnacentral:rRNA from 1 species
UACGUAGGGAGCAAGCGUUGUUCGGAUUUACUGGGCGUAAAGGGCGCGUAGGCGGCCUGUCAAGUCAAUUGUGAAAUCUCCGGGCUUAACUCGGAACGGUCAAUUGAUACUGUCAGGCUAGAGUGCAGAAGGGGCAAUCGGAAUUCUUGGUGUAGCGGUGAAAUGCGUAGAUAUCAAGAGGAACACCUGAGGUGAAGACGGCUCACUGGCCCGGUACUGACGCUGAGGUGCGAAAGCGUGGGGAGCAAACAGG